UGAGGAAUAUUGGCCAAUGGACGGAAGUCUGAACCAGCCAAGUAGCGUGCAGGAUGACGGCCCUAUGGGUUGUAAACUGCUUUUGUAUGGGGAUAAAGUUAGGGACGUGUCCCUAUUUGCAGGUACCAUACGAAUAAGGACCGGCUAAUUCCGUGCCAGCAGCCGCGGUAAUACGGAAGGUCCAGGCGUUAUCCGGAUUUAUUGGGUUUAAAGGGAGCGUAGGCUGGAGAUUAAGUGUGUUGUGAAAUGUAGACGCUCAACGUCUGAAUUGCAGCGCAUACUGGUUUCCUUGAGUACGCACAACGUUGGCGGAAUUCGUCGUGUAGCGGUGAAAUGCUUAGAUAUGACGAAGAACUCCGAUUGCGAAGGCAGCUGACGGGAGCGCAACUGACGCUUAAGCUCGAAGGUGCGGGUAUCAAACAGGAUUAGAUACCCUGGUAGUCCGCACAGUAAACGAUGGAUGCCCGCUGUUGGUACCUGGUAUCAGCGGCUAAGCGAAAGCAUUAAGCAUCCCACCUGGGGAGUACGCCGGCNACGGU
rnacentral:rRNA from 1 species